ACAGGUUUGAGAGUUUGAUCCUCAGCUCAGGAUGAACGCUAGCGGUGUGCCUAAUGCAUGCAAGUCGAACGGUAGCUCUUGGAUUCUAUCUGGGAGUGAGAGUGGCGGACGGGUGAGUAACGCGUUGGUGACCUACCUCAGAGAUAUGGGGACAACCAUUGGAAACGAUGGCUAAUACCCCAGAUGUCGCACUAUUUGGAAAGGUGUGACUAAAGCUUCGGCGCUCUGAGAGGGGCCAGCGUCCCAUCAGCUAGUUGGUAACCUAAUGGCUUACCAAGGCAAAGACGGGUAGGGGGCGUGAGAGCGUGCCUUCCACACACUGGUACUGUAGACACGGACCAGAUACCUGCGGGUAGCAGCAGCAAGGAAUAUUGCGCAUAGGACGAAAGUCUGACGCAGCAACACCGCGUGAGGGAUGAAGGCCUUCGGGUCGUAAACCUCUUCAGUGGGGGCAGAGAUAUGGACGGUACCCCAACAUAAGUCUCGGCUAACUAGUGCAGCAGUUUGCGGUAAAACGUAGGAGGCGAGCGUCCUCCGGAUUUACUGGGCGUAAAGCGCAUGCAGGCGGUUUUUUAAGUUGGACGUGAAAUUCUCCUGGCUCAACUGGGAGAGGUCGUUCAAGACUGGAAGACUUGAGGAUGAUGGAAGGAGAGUGGAAUUCCCGGUGUAUAUCCUGAAAUGCGUAGCAAUCGGGAGGAACUAUAGUGGCGAAAGCGGCUCUCUGGGUCAUUCCUGACGCUCAGAUGCGAAAGCUAGGGGAGAGAACGGGAUUCAGACCCCGGUAUUCCUAGCCGUAAACGAUGUCAACUAGGUGUAGGAGGUUAUUGACCUAUCCCUGUGCUAAAGCUAACGCAUACGUUGACCGCCUGGGGACUACGGUAUCAGGCUAAAACUCAAAGGAAUUGACGGGGCCCUUCCCACAUUCAGAUCCGCGUGUGGUUUAAUUCUAUAGGCUACGCGAAGAACCUUACCAGGGCUUGACAUAUACGUGGUAGUGAUUGGAAACAUGAUCGACAGCUUCGGGGAGCGUAUACAGGUGCUGCAUGGCUGUCGUCAGCUCGUGCCGUGUAUGUGUUAGGUUAAGUCCUGUAACGAGCGCAACCCUCGUCGACCAGUUAUACAGUGUCUAACGAGACUGCCGGUGAUAAGCCGGAGGAAGGUAAGGUAGACGUCAAGUCAGCACAGGCCUUUAUGUCCUGGGCUACACACACGCUACAAUGGCCGACACAAUGGGUAGCCAAGUCGUGAGACGGAGCCAAUCCUCCAAAGUCGGUCUCAGUUCGGAUUGCAGGCUGCAACUCGCCUGCAUGACAGUUCGGAGUUGCUAGUAAACGUGUGUCAGCAACACGCGUUGCCUACGUCAGUUGGGGCUUGUACACACCGCCCGUCACGUCAUGGAAGUUGUAUACGCCUGAAGUCAGUGAGCCACCCUACAG
rnacentral:rRNA from 1 species